rnacentral:rRNA from 1 species
GACGAACGCUGGCGGCGUGCUUAACACAUGCAAGUCGAACGGAAAGGCCCUGCUUUUGUGGGGUGCUCGAGUGGCGAACGGGUGAGUAACACGUGAGUAACCUGCCCUUGACUUUGGGAUAACUUCAGGAAACUGGGGCUAAUACCGGAUAGGAGCUCCUGCUGCAUGGUGGGGGUUGGAAAGUUUCGGCGGUUGGGGAUGGACUCGCGGCUUAUCAGCUUGUUUGUGGGGUAGUGGCUUACCAAGGCUUUGACGGGUAGCCGGCCUGGGAGGGUGACCGGCCACAUUGGGACUGAGAUACGGCCCAGACUCCUACGGGAGGCAGCAGUGGGGAAUAUUGCACAAUGGGCGGAAGCCUGAUGCAGCAACGCCGCGUGCGGGAUGACGGCCUUCGGGUUGUAAACCGCUUUCGCCUGUGACGAAGCGUGAGUGACGGUAAUGGGUAAAGAAGCACCGGCUAACUACGUG